rnacentral:rRNA from 1 species
UACCAGCACCCCGAGUGGUCGGGACGAUUAUUGGGCCUAAAGCAUCCGUAGCCGGUUCUACAAGUCUUCCGUUAAAUCCACCUGCUUAACAGAUGGGCUGCGGAGGAUACUAUGGAGCUAGGAGGCGGGAGAGGCAAGCGGUACUUAGUGGGUAGGGGUAAAAUCCGUUGAUCCAUUGAAGACCACCAGUGGCGAAGGCGGACUUGCCAGAACGCACUCGAACGGGUGAGG